UUUUUGGAGAGUUUGAUCUUGGCUCAGGACGAACGCUGGCGGCGUGCCUAAUACAUGCAAGUCGAGCGCUGGAAGCUAAUUUCAU
rnacentral:rRNA from 1 species